rnacentral:rRNA from 1 species
UACGGGGGGAGCAAGCGUUGUUCGGAUUUACUGGGCGUAAAGGGCGCGUAGGCGGCGCGACAAGUCACUUGUGAAAUCUCUGGGCUCAACCCAGAACGGUCAAGUGAUACUGUCGUGCUAGAGUGCGGAAGGGGCAACUGGAAUUCUUGGUGUAGCGGUGAAAUGCGUAGAUAUCAAGAGGAACACCUGCGGCGAAGGCGGGUUGCUGGGCCGACACUGACGCUGAGGAGCGAAAGCGUGGGGAGCAAACAGG